UACAGAGGCCCCAAGCAUUAUCCGGAAUCACUGGGCGUAAAGGGUGUCAAGGCGGUCAUGUUAGUCGUUCGUAAAAUCCGUGGGCUCAACCUACGGCUCGCGAGCGAAACGGCAUGACUUGAGGUUGGAAGAGGUGCGUGGAACUCACGGUGUAGGGGUGAAAUCCGUUGAUAUCGUGGGGAACACCAAAGGCGAAGGCAGCGCACUGGUCCAAAUCUGACGCUCACACACGAAAGCCAGGGUAGCGAAUGGG
rnacentral:rRNA from 1 species